CCCCCGUAGGCCGCCUGGUUCCGCGCAUUAUCAAUUGACUCAUUCGAUUGGCUGUCCUGACGAAGCGGAAACCCCGCGAAACUAGUCGACGUUGACCAAUCAAUGAACUGUACAAUUAUUUGUUUUGCAAUUUUAAUAAAUCAAUAAACUUUUUUAUAUCAUUA